GGAGGGGCCCCACCCUGCUCUGAGAGACCCUACAAUAACAAACAUGCCCCCCCCACCCAAGGGCAAUGGGGCAGGCCGAGCUCUGACUCUCUCCCCCUCUCCCCAGCGCUGCCUGGAGGAGGAACACCGGGCCGCCACGGGGCCAGUGCAGCCGGCGCAGGAGCCAACGAUGGCUGAGCUGCAGGAGCAGAGACGAGCCAUGGAGCGGGACCUGCAGCUGGGCCAGUUGGACCCCAGGCCUGGCCUCUCCCAGGGGGUCCAGCGCCCUGAGCCUGCGGCCCCCCGACAGCUCAGCUGCCCCGUCAGCGUGUCCCCCUGCCUGGCACCAGCCGCUCCGUCCCUGUUGGGCCGCAGAGAAGCAGCACCGCGAGCCCCGGGCACUGCGCUGGGCCGAGUGCCCCCCGACGAGGGCAUCUGCUGUGUGGGCGGCCUGGCUGGGGAGCUCCAUGGAGGGGCUGCGACCCCCGGCUGGGCCCCUGGCCAAGGACAGAUGGACAGUGAUGCUGAGCAGCGGGACCUGGCCACGCCAUCACCCCGGGGAGCUGGGGUCCCUCCUGCAAGCCCAGCCUGCAGC
rnacentral:lncRNA from 1 species